UACGAAGGGGGCUAGCGUUGCUCGGAAUUACUGGGCGUAAAGCGCGUGUAGGCGGCCCUUCAAGUCGGAUGUGAAAGCCCUGGGCUUAACCUAGGAAGUGCAUUCGAAACUGCGGGGCUUGAGUUCUGGAGAGGAAGGCGGAAUUCUCGGUGUAGAGGUGAAAUUCGUAGAUAUCGAGAGGAACACCGGUGGCGAAGGCGGCCUUCUGGACAGUGACUGACGCUGAGACGCGAAAGCGUGGGGAGCGAACAGG
rnacentral:rRNA from 1 species